GGAUUACCUGCAGAGCCCGCUGCAGGUGGGCUCCCAGUUCAGCCCAGUUCAGCCCAGUUCAGCCCAGUUCAGCCCAGUGACCUCCCAGUUCAAUCCCAGUUCAAUCCCAGUUCAUCCCAGUGACCUCCCAGUUCAUCCCAGUUCAAUCCCAGUGUGGCUACGAGGAUUACCUGCAGAGCCCGCUGCAGGUGGGCUCCCAGUUCAGCCCAGUUCGGCCCAGUUCAAUCCCAGUUCAAUCCCAGUUCAGCCCAGUGACCUCCCAGUUCAAACCCAGUUCAAUCCCAGUUCGGCCCAGUUCAAUCCCAGUUCAAUCCCAGUUCAGCCCAGUUCAUCCCACUUCAAUCCCAGUUCAGCCCAGUGACCUCCCAGUUCAAUCCCAGUUCAAUCCCAGUUCAAUCCCAGUUCAUCCCAGUUCAAUCCCAGUUCAAUCCCAGUUCAAUCCCAGUUCAAUCCCAGUUCCAUCCCAGUUCAUCCCAGUUCAAUCCCAGUUCAUCCCAGUUCAUCCCAGUUCAAUCCCAGUUCAGCCCAGUUCAUCCCAGUCCAUCCCAGUUCAUCCCAGUUCAUCCCAGUCCAUCCCAGUUCAAUCCCAGUUCAAUCCCAGUUCAUCCCAGUCCAUCCCAGUCCAUCCCAGUUCAGCCCAGUAACCAAAAAUCCCAAACCAGGAAAAUCGGGAUUUUUGGCUGAAUCUUGACAAAAAAAAUGGGAAUUUCGUGGAAUUUUGGGUGAAAAUUCCGGGAAUUUCUGUGGAAUUUUGGGUGAAAAUCCCGGGAAUUUUGGGGAAUUUUGGGUGAAAAUCCCGGGAAUUUUGGGUGAAAAUCCCGGGAAUUUUUUGUGGAA
rnacentral:lncRNA from 1 species